UGGGGAAUAUUGGACAAUGGGCGCAAGCCUGAUCCAGCAAUGCCGCGUGAGUGAUGAAGGCCUUAGGGUUGUAAAGCUCUUUCGCACGCGACGAUGAUGACGGUAGCGUGAGAAGAAGCCCCGGCUAACUUCGUGCCAGCAGCCGCGGUAAUACGAAGGGGGCUAGCGUUGUUCGGAAUUACUGGGCGUAAAGGGCGCGUAGGCGGCCUGUUUAGUCAGAAGUGAAAGCCCCGGGCUCAACCUGGGAAUAGCUUUUGAUACUGGCAGGCUUGAGUUCCGGAGAGGAUGGUGGAAUUCCCAGUGUAGAGGUGAAAUUCGUAGAUAUUGGGAAGAACACCGGUGGCGAAGGCGGCCAUCUGGACGGACACUGACGCUGAGGCGCGAAAAGCGUGGGGAGCAAACAGGAUUAGAUACCCUGGUAGUCCACGCCGUAAACGAUAAUGCUAGACGUCGGGGUGCAUGNACUUCGGUGUCGCCGCUAACGCAUUAAGCAUUCCGCCUGGGGGAGUACGGCCGCAAGGUUAAAACUC
rnacentral:rRNA from 1 species